AUUGAACGCUGGCGGCAUGCCUUACACAUGCAAGUCGAACGGUAACAGGUUAAGCUGACGAGUGGCGAACGGGUGAGUAAUGUAUCGGAACGUGCCCAGUCGUGGGGGAUAACUACUCGAAAGAGUGGCUAAUACCGCAUACGACCUGAGGGUGAAAGCGGGGGACCGUAAGGCCUCGCGCGAUUGGAGCGGCCGAUAUCAGAUUAGGUAGUUGGUGGGGUAAAGGCUCACCAAGCCGACGAUCUGUAGCUGGUCUGAGAGGACGACCAGCCACACUGGGACUGAGACACGGCCCAGACUCCUACGGGAGGCAGCAGUGGGGAAUUUUGGACAAUGGACGCAAGUCUGAUCCAGCCAUGCCGCGUGCGGGAAGAAGGCC
rnacentral:rRNA from 1 species